rnacentral:rRNA from 1 species
ACGGAAGGCAGCAGUGAGGAAUAUUGGUCAAUGGGCGCAAGCCUGAACCAGCCAAGUAGCGUGAGGGAUGACUGCCCUACGGGUUGUAAACCUCUUUUGUUUGGGAAUAAAGGAGCCUACGCGUAGGCUUUUGCAUGUACCUUUCGAAUAAGCAUCGGCUAAUUCCGUGCCAGCAGCCGCGGUAAUACGGAAGAUGCGAGCGUUAUCCGGAUUUAUUGGGUUUAAAGGGAGCGUAGGCGGCCGGUUAAGUCUGCGGUCAAAUGUCAGGGCCCAACCUUGGCAUGCCGUGGAUACUGUCCGGCUUGAGUGCACACAAGGAAGGUGGAAUUCGUCGUGUAGCGGUGAAAUGCAUAGAUAUGACGAAGAACACCGAUUGCGUAGGCAGCUGACCAGGCCGUAAAUGACGCUCAUGCACGAAAGUGCGGGGAUCGAACAGGAUUAGAUACCCUGGUA